rnacentral:RNase_P_RNA from 1 species
GGGGUAAGAGCCCACCAGCAGUGGGGUGACUCACUGGCUAGGUAAACCCCAGUCGAAGCAAGACCGAAUAGGGGGAUGAAGCUUCUCUGAAGCUUGAGCGCGGCCCGCGUUCUGAAUUCCCGGGUAAGGUCGCAUGAGCUAUUCAGCAAUGGAUAGCCAAGAUGAAUGACUACUCACGACAGAAUCCCGCUUAUCGCUUGACUCUUCCU